CAGCAGGAUGAGGCCGUCCACUAGCAUCUGCUACUUUGUCUGUCCGGUUAGCGGAAAAUUCGUUGAAGAUACAGAACUGAGGAGAAAUAUGCAAUUUAAGGACAAGUUUUGCAGCAUAAUAAUGUGGCAUCAGCGCCACGCAAAUGAUCAUUAUUUAUGCUUUGGCAUCAGGAGAUGGAGACGGCAUCAUAAAAUUGUCAACUUUUUGUGUUUAAAAUCGCGAAAGUUGGCGAUUUAGUUUUGCUUUUGCGGUGCCUGUCUCAUGAUUUACGUGCGCGUAGUCGGCAGGGUGAAGUCGCAUUUUUGUAUCUGCUGGUUUGCCUGUCAGGUUUGCAAUUUUCUGUGUGUCCUUGAUUAAUUUUGUAUUAUAUUCUUAUUAAUUUUCCUUUCCUUACAGAUUAUCAGGAAAUC